rnacentral:rRNA from 1 species
CCCUUAGAUGUCCUGGGCCGCACGCGCGCUACACUGAACGGAUCAGCGCGUUUUCCCUUCCCGAGAGGGACGGGUAACCUGCUGAACCCCGUUCGUGGUAGGGAUCGGGGCUUGCAAUUAUUCCCCGUGAACCAGGAAUGCCCAGUAAGUGCAAGUCAUAAGCUUGCGUUGAUUACGUCCCUGCCCUUUGUUCACACCGCCCGUCGCUACUACCGAUUGAACGUUUUAGUGAGGUACUCGGACUGAGCCUCAGAAGAUUCACGUCUUUUGUGCUGCUCGGGAAGAUUCCCAAACUUGAGCGUUUAGAGGAAGUAAAAGUCGUAACA